rnacentral:rRNA from 1 species
UACGUAGGGUGCGAGCGUUGUCCGGAAUUAUUGGGCGUAAAGGGCUCGUAGGCGGUCUGUUGCGUCAGGAGUGAAAACUCGGGGCUUAACCUCGCGCCUGCAGUGGGUACGGGCAGACUAGAGUGCGGUAGGGGAGAUUGGAAUUCCUGGUGUAGCGGUGGAAUGCGCAGAUAUCAGGAGGAACACCGAUGGCGAAGGCAGAUCUCUGGGCCGUAACUGACGCUGAGGAGCGAAAGCGUGGGGAGCGAACAGG